UAUUAUAAAGGUCUUAGCUAAAUUAAAUAUAUAAAACAAUACUUAACAAUAAACACGCGACAACAUGAGCAACUUCCUUUUUCUAUAAAUCAGAAAUAUUGUUAAUUUCCUAUCAAAAUAUUACACUCCUGGUGACCAUGUACAGUGGCUCGCCAAGUGAUCAAGAAACUGCAAAACAAACAUACAAUCUGAUAAUAGAUAGAAUCUGACAAUAAAAACCAAGUCUUAUAUCUGACCCAGUCCCUACCCUGCUGCAGACUGAACUGCUGCUGCCAAAACCUGUCAUUGUGCUGAUCCUUUGUACAUUUACUUCUUUCCCAUGCUCAUGCUGGUGUACCUUGUAGAUUUUGCUGAAUUGAACAACCUACUGAGAAUCUGUGAUGUAGUCAUUACAUCUUGCCAUGAAAUCCGCAAACCCAAUGUUUGAACCUGCUUUACUAUUUGUUGAAAUAAAAAACACUUCUGUCAAACGCUUUAACCUGCUCUGUUGUUUGUUGAAAUCAAACGUUAAUUCUUGGGAACAUAGAAUACGCCACAUGUUAUCUGCUACUCCUUCCCUGUUAGUUCUUGGGAAGGACUAUCAUCUACUAAUACACUUUCAGCAAACCAAGAUCUAUGUUAGGUGGACUUCAUCACUUCUUCGUCAAGGUCCUCAUUCUCACCUGGCAUAAAAUUUCAAAAGAUUUGUGAACAUUUUCUUUUUCAGAUUUUGAACCUAAUAGCAUGUAGAUCCCAGAUCCAUACAUGUGUUUGUUUGAAUGAGUUUUAAGCAUGGACCCUUAAACAAAACUUAUAGGGAUAAGUUUAAUGUCCAAAACUUCUGAAGAAUUUUAUAAGGGGAAAACAACCCUCUAAAGUCUAAAAGAUUCUAAUUACAAAAAUCGAACCUGUUGAACAAAGCAAGCACGAACAUGAUUGACUUAUCUGAAACAAUCAAAUUAAGAAUCAAAUGACAAUCUCGAUAGGAUCUAAACAGAGUUUAGAAUACCGCAAAAGAAAAAAAAAACCCACUAAAGAUGAACUUAGCAAUUUUUUAUGUAAAGAAACAAACACCAACUUGAAACAUAUAUGACCUGUUAUUUAUCUUCCGAUAUGGCCGCGACAGAGUGCUUGACAUUGUAUGAAACCUCUCGUUGCUAUUGGCAGCAAGAAAAAUUCUCAUUCUGGAAGAUGAGGAGAUAUAACAUCGUAUUAGCAUCAGCUGACCAGAGCAUCUAAGUACGUAAAAUUUGAAUAAAAAUAACUGGUUACGAAGUACUGAACGCAACAACUUAUAUAUGAUUAGAAAUUUGAAUCCAAAAUGGUUGUAAGACAAUGUAAAUAAUUAAGUCUGCUUUGAGGAAUCUAAUAAUGUUAGUUUUUGUUUCUCUACUCAAACCUAAAAAUAUGGGUGCAAUUAUCAUGCUAACUUACAGGUAAACUAUCCUCACGACCAUCAAAUCAAUAGUAUUUUGGAUAUCCAACUCUCUCUCAUGCAUAGCCUCAUUGAUUUGAGGUCUCCAUCUCUUUUGUUUAGAUUUGUGAACUUAUAAUAAAUUAUGGACUCCAGUGUUCAUAAACAUUAUGCAUAGGUCAGAAGGAUAUCUAAAGAGUAAAUAGCUAAAAAAGAGUUCAAUGAAGACAAACAAAAAAUGGAUGCAUGCAAGUUUAAAGAUUUCUAUACCUUGACAGUGGAGUAUUGUGUUAGGUAUGUUGGAAGCUAUCAUUAAAUUGCGCUUUUGGGAAUCAGCAGUGUGUGUUUAUGGAUAUCUCUGACUUGAAGCCAAAGAUGUAAUGACUCGCAAGUCAAUUUAAAUGGGAGCACAUUAUUGUGGUAAAUUAAAUCGUUUGAUUCCAACACAAUAAAGUUUCUAGGCAACCAUGUGAAGCUGUAUGUAUAUAGAUCAGAAGUUAAAAAUGCGUUACACUACUGAUCAAAUCCAAGCACCUAAUGAGCUCAAAAAAACAACAACCAAUACUUUACAGAGAUUGGACAAUCAACAAAAAAAAAAAAAAAAGGUUUUUGAGAAGUAACUAAACCUAACCUGCAGCAAGUAGUAGGAAAGACAGCCACACCAAAAUUCAAUCUAAACACCGUGUAACUUCUUUCCAUCCCCAGCUUAUGAUCAUUCUCAAAGAUGUCUUUGUUGCAUAGUCCUAAAAAAAAACAUAUAUUCACACAAUCAUUGUCAAUUUCAGGCACAUAUAUACAAUUUUCAAAUCUAAAAAAUGACAUAUACCUUAUUAACAAUAGAACCUAGAAUCCUCAUUUCAGGUAGAGGCUGACCCCAUUCAUUGUAUAGUGAGGUAGUCAACAAUCUUGGAAUAAAAUCAAAUGGAUGUCGAUUUUCAUCUGUAAAUUGCAAAAAGCUCCCAAAAUUAAGUAUAUUUUUAUUGAAAUUAUAUAAAAUUACAUAAACCUAAACCAAUAAAUACCCUUGGUUGAGAAUGAACUAUGAGCAAUGACUGCAAUACCUGUAUGAAAAGCAAAGAUAUCCAUUAAUGAUUAAUCCAAUGCCAUAUCUCAAAAAAAAAAAAAAACAACAAACAUAUGAUUCAAUUACAAAAACAUAUGAUUGACAUUGUUAUGUUUCGUCAUACUAAUGUCAAUCUGAUGUAAGUAUCUGUCACACUAUGUUUUACUUAACAGUAAGUGCUCAUACUUCGUAGUACCUACAUCACAGUAAACCCUCAUUGAUGUAGAGAUUACAAAGAAUUAACGUUAGUUGUUCCGUUGGUUUGGUUUUGCUAGUAGUAGACAACUUAGAAUUCUGUGGGUAGACGGUAGAGGAUAGAGAAGAGGAUAAA
rnacentral:lncRNA from 1 species